AGGACACUAGAACUCAGCCCUCCUUCUAGCGCCAAUGUUAACGCCAGGAUCUUUCUCCACGUCCCAAUCACGAAAGACGUUCUGAUCCUGCACAGUAAACACGACAAACACCACAAACUUGAUGGCCGGACCGCCGAGGGAUAGCUCAGGCGUGGGAGUAAGUAUGUCUGUUCACAAGGUUAACUCAAGAGGAUGAUAAAAUCUAGUGUGAUGAGAGAGAUUAUUAUUAUCAGUUGUGUAAAUGUGAAUAUAUGAAAAACAUACCUUCC
rnacentral:lncRNA from 1 species